UACGAAGGGGGCUAGCGUUGUUCGGAAUCACUGGGCGUAAAGGGCGCGUAGGCGGCCGUUCAAGUCGGGGGUGAAAGCCUGUGGCUCAACCACAGAAUGGCCUUCGAUACUGGACGGCUCGAGACCGGAAGAGGUCAGUGGAACUGCGAGUGUAGAGGUGAAAUUCGUAGAUAUUCGCAAGAACACCAGUGGCGAAGGCGGCUGACUGGUCCGGUUCUGACGCUGAGGCACGAAAGCGUGGGGAGCAAACAGG
rnacentral:rRNA from 1 species